CAGUUCUUCCAACAGCUGGGCUACGUGCUGGCCACCCUGCUCCUCUUCCUGCUGCUCCUCGUAGCCGUGCUGCUGGCCACCCGACAGCACCGCCGCAGGGGCUACGAGUACAACCUGAAGAAAUCCGAUGGGUGAGUGACCCUCCGGCCGAUCCCCAGUGAACCCUGCCCUCUCCCCGGCCGACUCCAUUAGCCGAUGCCCUUGAACGCCCCCAGCCCCUUUGAAAUCGGAGAGAUUGACUGACGUGAAGCUCUGGAUUGUCUGUAGAUUUCGAUUCCCCUAGCUCUCCCUGUAUCCCAUGGAUAAAUGAGGGCAAGCCGGGCCCCUGGGAGGAGGUCGCAGGGGGAUGGGGGUGGGAUGUUCCACCCCCCACCUUGGUGUUCUGUUUCCAGGAAAGAUGUGAAUCUGAAGGAGUGUGCCGUUGACCCCGGGGACCUGGCACCGAGCCGGAAUGAGGACAUCCAACUAGGUUGGGGAGGGGAGGGGCGGGUCUCCGGGGGGGCUGGGUUAAUCGCAGGUCAAGGGAAGCCGUGUUCCUGGGGGCGAGGGAGGGGCCACGGUGGUCUUUCCCAUUUUCUCGUGGGGUGGAGGAGCAGGACAAACCGGAGCUCAGGGCGGCUUGUCCGCCUACCCAAGGCUGCACAGUACAACUUGAGGGGAGCAGCGUGGCCUAGUGAGAAACAGCAUGGCCUCAUGGAUAAAGCACGGGCCUGGGAGUCAGAAGGACCUGAGUACUAAUCCCAGCUCCACCAUUCACUGUGUGACCUUGGACAAGCCACUUGACUUCUCUGUGCUUCAUUUACCUCACCUGCUAAAAUGAGGAUUAAGACUGUGAGCCCCAUGUAGGACAGGGACCGAGUCCCACCUGAUGAUUUAUCUUCCCCAGUGCUUAGAGCAAUGCCUGGCACAUAGCGCUUUAAAAGUACCAUAAAAAAAGGACAGAGACCUCAAGAUGUCUGGGUGCUCAGUCCUCUUAACUGGUCCCCCGGGGGAAGGGGCUUUGUCUGUCUCUGAUCCGACUCCCCGCCCCUCCCUCCCAGAUUACAAAAACAACAUCCUCAAGGAGCAGGCUGAGCAGGCCAAGAACCUCUCGGCCAAGAACGUCGACUUGGACAAAGAAUUCAGGAAAGAAUAUUGCAAGUGAAGAUCCCCGAAGCUCCUGGCUGGACCAGCAGCUCCUCUCCCCUCCCCUCCCACGCCAACCGAGAGACGGUCUCCCCAGGUCCACCUCCGUCCCCGCCCCGGCACGACGGAGCCCCCACCCUGGCACAACGUCCCUCCCCCUCGCCCGGAGGCCCCCGGCCCCCAGCAGCCCGGCGGGCAGACUCUGCUCGCCACCCUGUCCGUAUGGCCUCGGCUCCUGGACUCCCCCGCCCAGACCUCCGCUCUGCCCUGCUCCUCCCUGGGCCGGGCCGGUGUUGCUGCAGUGUCCAGCCUGGUGCCCUGGCCAGCACCGGCCCCAGGAAUUUCACCCCCUCAGCCAGCCUGCCCCGGCUCCCGUCCUCUCCCCGGCGGCGGCUAGGGCCGCAGCUUCCUCCCCCUCCGCCCCCAACCCUCCCAUACUCCAUGUGGGCAGCUCUGAGGACCGACUAUGGGUCAGCCCCAGGAUGGGGGGACACGGGGGUCCGGGGUGCAGACAACACCUCGCCUCCCGCCCCGGUCCCCACCCCUCUUCCUCCUUCCCUCUGCGCCCCUCGUUUCCUUCCCCCUCACCCCUCCAGAGCCUCACCACCUGUCCUCAGCAGGCUCUGGCAGCCAGGUCACCGGGCAGAAUCUCCGGGUCAUUCGGCUGGGGACUGGUCACUUCCCGGGUGACGUCACUGCGGGGGCGAGGGGGGGUGGGGUGGCUGUUCCAUCCCACCCCACCUGGAAAGGGACCUCACAUUCCUGAGUGGGAAGCCCAGCCCCACCUCGCCUGUCUCUCUCCAGCUGCCCUCACCCUCCGCCUGGCCUAGCCCAGCCUGGCCCAGCCCACCAUCGCUGGGAGAAGAGGAGGGAAGACAGGCGGAUCGGGGUCUGGGGCGUUUCCUCAUUUCGCUGUUCAGUCCCUCCAGGAAGGAGGGGCCGGCGAGAGGCCUCUUCUGCGGGCUGGUUCCCUGGGGGGCCCUACAUGCUGGAAAUAAGCAGAAACAUCUCCAGUAAGGAGGAGCAGGUGGAAGAUGGAGGUCCAGAGACCCCCAUCCUCGGGGGGAGGGUUGAGUGGUUCAAAUUCCCACUUCCCUGCACCCCAGACAUUUCCCAGCGGGGCCUGGUGCUUGGGAGCACUGAGAUGCUUGACACUCCGUGAUGGGGUUAUCCCCAGACUGGGUGACAAGGUGCUCACGGAGGGACCCUGGAGAAAGGCAAUGGGAGAAGGAAUUCGUUUCUCAAAUAGAUUCGAUGGAAGUAGAUGGGACACAGGUCCCUGUCCCACGUGGGCCUCUAGACUGUGAGCUCAGUGUAGGUGGGAAUGUGUCUGUUUGCUGUUAUAUUGUACUCUCCCAAGCGCUGUUAUAUUGUACUCUCCCAAGCGCUUAUUACAGUACUUGGCACACAGUGAGCGCUCGAUAAAUAUGAUUGAAUGAAUGAAUGAGGCUCACAGUCUGAGAAAGGAGAACAGGUAUUAAUCAUUGUGGUAUUUCUUAAGCGCUCUCUACAUGCCGAGCCCUGUACUAAGUGCGGGCAUAGACAGAAGGUAAUGGGUCAGACGGACUCCUGUCCCACGUGGAGUUCAAGAACAGUCUCCCCGUCCCUGUCUCCUCCCUCAUCUUCAGCCCAGCUCUAAAGGCUGCCUCCUCCAGGAAGCUUUACCCCCCACCCUCGUCUCACCCCUAUGAACUCCUCUCACUGGUACAUCUUAAUACCCACUCCUCCUUCUCAACCCUUCGGGACCCUGUUGUGCCCAGAUGGUCGGGGACGAUGGCUCACGUGCCUGCCUCGUCUUCCCUGUCGAGAGGAGGGGCUCUCUGAGGAUGGGAAUCAUGUCUAUGCUCUUAGGGGAACACCAGACACUUGGGAGCGCACAGGCCCUCCCCUGCCCUUGCGGCUAGCAUCACUCGCUGUUUCAUCCAGGUAUGCGUAUGUGUGUGCGCACACAUGUAUGUGCACUUGAGCGCAUGCCUGAGGGGGCAGAGUUUUGUUGUUGUUUUUUUUACGGCCCUGCCCCCGGCCCCGCUGUCGCUGUCGGCUGCCUCCUGCUCUCCCUCAGAAACCAAUAAAAUGAUGGAGAAAACAUUUUUGUCUCUCCCUGGCAGCCAGCGCCCGGCGUGGCAUUGAGGCUGGGGGAGCGGGGAGCCGGAGGAGGGAGUUGGGGGGACGGGGAGUGUGGGUAAAAGGAGGGCGGAGUGGAAGGAAAGAGGCGGGGAGCUUGGGCCUUUUCAAUCUUGGAGGCUUUGAAUCCAUCACUUAGAAAUGGGGUAUUCUCAGCAGGCACUCAGUAAGUAACAAUGCUCUGACUAAUAAUAAUAAUAAUGAUGGUAUUUGUUAAGCGCUUACUAUGUGCAAAGCACUGUUCUGUUACUACUACUCUGCUCACAGGAACGUACACAGAUACGCACAUAUCCUCCCACGCGUACCUAUGCAUACACAUCCACACAACACACACAAUUAUAUAUGCUCGCACUUAAUGCCCGCACACAUACUUGGGCAGGGAACUUGUCUGUCAACUCUGUGGUGUUGCACUCUCCCAAGUGCUUAGUACAGUGUUCUACAGAACGUGCUCAAUAAAUACAAUUGACUAUGAUAUAUACACUUACAGAAUAUGUCAUAAAGGCAUUAUACAAUGCACAUUCAUUCAUUCAAUCGUAUUUAUUGUUAGUUAGAGACAACAGUUAGAGACAAUCCUUACCCAAAACAGGCUCACAGUCUAGAAGGGGGAGACAGACCACAAAACAAAACAAGUAGACAGGCCUCAAUAUAAUCAAAAUAGAUGAAUAGAAUUAUAGUUAUAUGCACAUCAUUAAUAAAAUAGAGUAAUAUGUACAGAUAUACACAAGUGCUGUAUUAUGAGUGCAUGAAAGUGUGUUGUGUGUAUACUGCAUGUGUGCACAGAUAUAUACCUCUACAUACCCACCCAGCAGAGACAACUUACAUAUUUAUACACUCUAGGAGCUGGUUGGUGGGCUGGGGAAGGGAGGCAGGUGAACCCCUGUGUGUACACACACACACACACACACACGCACACUCUUCAUGCAUUCACUCACAACACAAUGUGGCCUACUGAGGAGCAGUGUGACCAAGCAGAUGGAGCAAGAAUGUGGGUGUCAGAAAGACCUGGGUUCUAAUACCGGCUCCUCCACUUGUCUGCUGUGUGACCUUGGGUGAGACACUCCAUUUCUCUUUGCCUUAGUUACCUCAUCUGUAAAAUGGGGACUAGGACUGUCCCACAUGGGACAUGGACAGCAGCGUGGUUCAGUGGAAAGAGCACGGACUUGGGAGUCAGAGGUCAUGGGUUUGAAUCCCAGCUCUGCUACUUGUCAGCUGUGUGACUGUGGGCAAGUCACUUCACUUCUCUGUGCCUCAGUUAUCUCAUCUGUAAAAUGGGGAUUAAGACUGUGAGCCUCACAUGGGACAACCUGAUUACCGUGUAUCUACCCUAGCGCUUAGAACAGUGCUCUGCACAUAGUAAGUGCUUAACAAAUACCAACAAUAUUAUUAUGAUUAUUAUGGACUGUGUCCAACCUGAUUAGCUUGUAUCUACCCCAGUUUCUAGAACAGUACCUGGCACACAGUAAGUGCUUAACAAAUAUCAGAAUCACCACCACCACCCCUCCCCAGCCUCCACACACACACAAAAUACACAUACUCUCAUGCAAACUCACACAAUACACAGAUAUUUAUGCACGCAUAUGUUCACCUGUACAUACACACACUACAUACAACACACACAUGAAUAAUAGUUAUAAUAAUGGUAUUUGUGAUGCAGUCACACAACACACAAUAUUUCUAUUUAGAAAACACUCACGCACCUCUAGACUUCUUCCUUUUUAUGUCCCUAGCUCUUGUUUGUUGCUCCCCUUGAGAAGUGGUGGGGGGGGAUGGGGAUGAUAAUGAUGUUAUUGGGAUUUGAUAAGGGCUUACUCUGUGCCAGCCACUGUACUAAGUGCUGGGGUGGAUACAAGCAAAUCGGGUUGGUUGGACACAGUCCCUGUCCCACGUGGGGCUCACAGUCUCAAUCCCCAUUUUAACAGAUGAGGUACCUGAGGCACAAAGAGGUGAAGUGACUUGCCCAAGGUCACACAACAGACAAGUGGCGGAGUCAGGAUUAGAACCCAUGACCUUCUGACUCCCAGGCCGUGUGCCAUCUACCACGCCACACUAGAGAUGCUGUGUCCUUCACGGGGAAGGUCACCCCAAUAUGCUCAUUUGCCUAAAAACCCCUCAGAACUAUCAGACUAGGUCCAGCCUCGCUACCAGGUUCCCCCCGGAUUCGAGUUUCCAGCCCGGUCAGGAUUGGCUGGGGUCUGGUGAGUGA
rnacentral:lncRNA from 1 species